rnacentral:rRNA from 1 species
AUGGAGGUCGUCUACCUCGGCGUAGCUCUCGUGUCCUUGUGUGCCGUGCUUCUUUCCAGCCGCAGACGCAGGCGCUCGGCAAUGAACGAGCUGCCGGGGCCGUGGCAGCUGCCGGUGAUCGGAAGCCUGCACCACCUCGUCGGGCAGCUCCCCCACCGCGCGAUGCGUGACCUAGCGCGGCGCUACGGGCCGGUCAUGCUCCUCCGGCUCGGCGAGGUGCCCACGCUGGUGGUGUCGUCCCGGGAGGGUGCCCGUGAGGUGACGAAGACCCACGACUUGGCGUUUGCGACGCGGCCUCUGAGCGCCACAGCGCGUGUGCUCACCAACGGCGGCCGGGACAUUGUGUUCGCACCGUACGGUGACCACUGGCACCAGGUUAAGAAGAUCGCCGUCUUCGAGCUCUUAUCGGCGCGGCGCGUCACGUCCUUCCGCGCCGUCCGCGAGGAGGAGGUCGCCGCCGUGCUCCGCGAUGUCGCCGAGGCCGCGGUGGCCACGCGCCCCGUGGAGCUGCGCGCGUGCCUCUCCGCGCUCGGCAUCGACAUCACGGUCCGCGCCAUCAUGGGUGACCGGUUCAAGGAGCGCGAUGUGUUCCUCCACGCGCUCGACCGCUCCACGAAGCUCGUGGCGGGGUUCAACCCGCCGGACCUGUGGCCGUCGUCCCGGUUUGCCGGCUAUCUCAGCGGGGCCGUGCGCAGCGCCAAGGAGUGCCGUGACAUCGGGAACGGCAUCCUCGACGCCAUCAUCAAGGAGCGGCUCGAGAGGACGAUGGAAGGUGGCGGAGGCCAGAAGAACGAGGACUUGCUCGACGUGCUGCUAAGCAUGCACAAGGAGGGCAAGCUCGACAUGGACGCCGUCAAAUACGUCAUCUUCGACCUAUUCAGCGCCGGCAGCGAGACAACUACGCUAGAGUGGGCAUUCGCAGAGCUGAUGAGGAACCCAAAGGUGAUGCACAAGGCAACCGCCGAGGUUCGGCGAGCCUUCAGGGCCCAAGGCACCGUAGCGGAGCACCGCCUCAACGAGCUCCCGUACAUGCACCUGGUCAUUCGGGAGGCGCUGCGGCUGCACAUGCCCACGCCGUUGCUCCUCCCGCGGGAGUGCCGGGAGCCAUGCCAGGUGCUCGGGUAUGACGUGCCGCAGGGCACGCAGCUGCUAGUCAACGUCUGGGCACUGGGCCGUGACAAGCGGUACUGGCCUGACGGGCCGGAGGAGUUUCGGCCGGAGCGGUUCGAGGACGAGGAUGCUGUGGACUUUAAGGGUAACGACUUCUCUUUUCUGCCGUUCGGCGCAGGCCGGAGGAUGUGCCCUGCCAUGGCAUUCGGCCUCGCCAACAUCGAGCUCGCACUCGCGAGCCUGCUGUUCCACUUCGACUAGGAGGGUCCAAGUCCAGAUGAAUUGGACAUGGCCGAGGCGUUUGGUGUUACCGCGCGGCGGAAGGCCGACCUCCUCCUGCGCCCUGUCCUCCGUGUGCCCGUUCCCUUCCUGGAGUCUACUCCACCGGCAGGCAACGGAGAUCGUUAG